rnacentral:sRNA from 1 species
ACCUUUUCCAAGGAAUUCAAGUAAUCAACAGCUCUUUCUCUGUUCACCAUGAAAGUAUGUUCAUCCAUUUCGAUA